rnacentral:sRNA from 1 species
UAUCUGGACUGCCUCUUCUAGUCCUAGAUC